rnacentral:rRNA from 1 species
CUUCCCAUCUAUACCGAUCUCGUCUGGGUCGGGCCUGGUUAAUACUUGAAUGGGAGACCGCCUGGGAACACCAGGUGCUGUAAGC